GAUGAACGCUAGCGGCAGGCUUAACACAUGCAAGUCGAGGGGCAGCGCGGGUAGCAAUACCUGGCGGCGACCGGCAAACGGGUGCGGAACACGUACGCAAUCUGCCCUUACCCGGAGCAUAGCCCGAAGAAAUUCGGAUUAACUCUCCAUAAGAUAAUAAAAUGGCAUCAUUUAGCUAUUAAAAAUUUAUUGGGUAAGGAUGGGUAUGCGUCCUAUUAGCUAGUUGGUGGUGUAAUGGACCACCAAGGCGACGAUAGGUAGGGGAUCUGAGAGGACUAACCCCCACACUGGUACUGAGACACGGACCAGACUCCUACGGGAGGCAGCAGUAAGGAAUAUUGGACAAUGGUCGCAAGACUGAUCCAGCCAUGCCGCGUGCAGGAAGACGGCCCUAUGGGUUGUAAACUUCUUUUACAGGGGACGAAACACUUCUAUUCUUAGGAGCUUGACGGUACCCUGGGAAUAAGCACCGGCUAACUCCGUGCCAGCCGCCGCGGUAACAC
rnacentral:rRNA from 1 species